CGUGUGCUACAUCGCGCGUGAAUAGCGACGGAGCGAUCUCCACUUCCCCGGAAUACGGAGAGCUCGCGCGAUCGAAGAGAGAAGGUUCGCUUCACAGGUGGCAACCACCAAACCCUAGCGCGCGUGCGCGUGGGAGUCGCCCUCUUCGUUGCUUCCGAGGUGACCACGGACUCGAUCGAUCGGCUUCCGCUUGCAAUGCAUUUUGAAGCCGGCCAGUAGCCUUCCGUUCCUGGAUUGUUAGGGUUUUGAUGAUCUAUCUAGAUAACGGGUGUCGGUUGUUUUGCGUUUAGCCAUCUCUUUUCUUCGUUCUUGGGAUUUCGUCCCAGAAAGUUUGUUUAUCCGUGUGUAAUACUUUGCCUUUUGCUUGAUCGUUUCGGUAGUCUGAUCGUGCAUUCCUAUGUUUAUGAUCGAUCUCAGUUGAGAAAUUGGAUUGGUCACUGAUGGCUACCAAGAGGAUCCAAAAGGAGUUGAAGGACUUGGAGAGCGACCCUUCGGUUGCCUGCAGUACAGGCCCUGUUGGUGAGGAUAUGUUCCACUGGCAAGCAACUAUUACAGGGCCUGCUGACAGCCCCUUUUUAGGAGGCAUAUUUUUAGUGAAUAUUCACUUUCCACCAGAUUACCCUUUCAAGCCACCCAAGGUCACAAUCUUCCUUCUCUCUGUCAAUUGAUGUGCUUAUUUGUGAAAUUAUGCCAUAACCAAUAAAUUUGUUACUUCUGUGAUUAUAUUGAUGCCAGAAGAUCAAUUCACAUUGCUGUUCCUGUUCCUUUUGACUGUAGCUUUUUAUCGUUGACUGUCUUUUUCUCUUUUCUAAUUAUCACAUGAAAAUCUGAUAUAGGAUCUGUGUUCAAUUUUCCGAGAUAUCCCAGGUAAUUUCAGUCAGAAUGGUUGCAUAUGGGAGCAGUAAAUAGUUUUGGAGUAGUAUACUAUAUGGUUGGCCUUUUACCUUUCUUUGUUUGCUCUCUUUUUUUUUUUCGAGUGUUUCGGUUCAUUCACCUUUUUUUAGCAAUAAUCGAACGGUUAUUAAUUGCCUAGCUAGUUUGUAUUAAAUCUUCAUAUUAUUUGCCAAGUGGAUGUCAUUUAUGGGUCGCAUGCAUCAUGCCAUGUUAUUUUAGUAUUACGACUUGCGACUUUGUUAUUGUUAUUGUUGUGCUUCAACAUGUCCAUCAGCACCAAGUCAUAUCUAAUAAACCAACGGGUACUUGCCAUUAUGCACUGGAUGAAUGCAGUGGCAUGAAUAAAGCACCCCAUCCUGCUCUUGUACACAGUGUGUUUGUGGUGUGCAUGAGAGUUAAGACAGCAUGGUACUUUGGUGGUUUUCACCAUCGUACAUAAAAGAAUGGGAGCUGUGCAACUUUUUCGCAAUCAAUCUUACACUCAAGUCUAGCCCUGCUUUCUUGUAAUGACAAGCUUAUUUUGAACUCAUGUCAUCACGACAUUUUGUUAGACUAAAAUGAGGAUAACAUAUUCAGAAAGGAAAGCUGAUUCUUACAAAGGAGAUUUCUCAACAGAACCCCCUUUUUUUCUCAGGUCUUAUUUCAAUAUUUCUUAGCAAGAUGUAUUUCAUCCAAAUAUUAACAGCAACAGGAGCAUCUGCCUUGACAUCCUUAAGGAGCAGGGCAGCCCUGCUCUUCAAUGUCUAAGGUAACUUUAUAUUUCUUGAUUUUCUGAUUGAACAUAUGCUCAAUUUCUCAUACGUAAUGUUCAGAGGCAACCUAAAGCUUAGAGGAAAUCAGUUGAAUUAUGGUAUUGAAGGAUUAUUUUCUUAGAUAUGAUGCUAAAUGUCAGAUUAUUAUCAUCCAUGCUCUUGAAAAUUCUAUGGUGCACGUCUUUGAUUAGAAGAGCUGGCUAUACCUUUUGUUUUCAAUCUAAGAUGAGUCCUGUAUAAACUGGGAGGAUAAGAGAACACUUGACUCUUGUAGAUAGUCUAGAGAUCUGAGAGGAGAUGGACAUGACAGCUGAGGGAUUAUAAACUAGAGACUACAAAAGGCUCUAGUGUAACCAGUUAAAUUAAAGUUUAUGUAGACUUUGCUUAAUUGUUUCCACAUGCCUCUGAUAAGCACAAGAAAUUCUUCUGAUAAUUGUUCUUCAAUCUGUAGACCGAAGAACAAUUAUCAGAAGCAUUUCUUGUGCUUAACUGUUUCCACAUGCCUCUGAUAAGCACAAGAAAUGCCUUUGAUCACAUACAAGUAGUCACUCAAAAUCUUCCACAUGCCUCUGACAAGCACAAGAGGUAAUAUGACUUCUCGGCAUGGUCUUAUAAUUUCUUUACUGUUGUAACCACAAAUUAGUUGCUGUGUCAGGAAUAACUGUUAUAUUUCAGAACACAUUAUUUUUUCAGUACACCCUGUGGUUUGUCCUUGUAAAUUUACAGAGUUAAAGAAGUUUCUGCUAAUGUUCCUUCUUCUUGGUGAAUCAUUUUGAACCAUUUUCUGUCGAAGAUUGGUUUGUCCUUGUAAAUUUAGAGAGUUAAAGUAGUCUGUGCUAAAUGUUCCUUCUUCUUGGUGAAUCAUUUUGAACCAUUUUCUGUCAUAGACCCCUAAAGCUAGAUACAUAUUUCAAUUUUAUGUAGGAAAAAGUUGAUAGUCCUUCCAUCUGGGGGAGUAGUUUCAUUUUCCUGCUUGUCCAACUAUUCCAACUUGUGUUGCAUUUCUUGCCAAAAUGCUGAAAUAAAUGGAUGGUUUUGUAUUAGUUAAAUUGUACAACCCGAUGCAAUUUGAAAAAACCUUGAUUUGUAUGUAGUCAAGUAAUCUUAAAUCUACUCAAUGAAUAAUAGCCUUUUGCUUUUAAUUCCUUGCUAAUUACUGCUGGAAUUUUGAAGUUGUGAUGCCAUUGAGCCAUUCUCACCUAUUAGAGGUGUAUUUAAAAUGGGCUUUUUUGUUCGUGCUACUUCUUGAAACAAUAAUAACAUGCUAAAUCAGGUCUUUAAUCUGAGCUAUUCUCUUGUUUUCCUUUGAUUUCUAGUGUCUUUGCAUUCUCUGAUCAUUAUUCUAGUUGACACAUCCUAGAUUAGAAGGCAAUUGUAUCUUCUUUUUUGUCCUAGAAAGAAAUUUGUUGAAAGAGGUGGAAUCAAAUGAAAAGCAUUUUUGCAAACAAGUGGAAGUCCUUUCAAAAUGCUAUUGCCCCGAGAUGAUUGAGUAGAGAAAAUGAAGAACUUAGCAAGUGUAACUAUUUUUUUUUUCUUACUGUGUGAAGUGUAUUUGUAUUAACAGGUCAGACAAAUUGUUUUGUGGUGCAAUAUAUUUUUGUAAAAAUCAGUAGUCUCAGUUGUGGACACGAAACAUGACUUCCAGCAGCUAAAAUUCUACAUAAAGAUUGCAUGCCAAGUUCCUAUAAAUUCAA